CAAGGGUCUGACUGGAAGCCCUGGCAGCCCUGGUCCUGAUGGCAAAACUGGCCCCCCUGGUCCCGCCGGUCAAGAUGGUCGCCCCGGACCCCCAGGCCCACCUGGUGCCCGUGGUCAGGCUGGUGUGAUGGGAUUCCCUGGACCUAAAGGUGCUGCUGUGAGUAUUAAGUGAGGAUCCAUGAAGAGCCAGGGACAAACACACCUGAGACUUGAAGGAGUCCUGGGCUCUGGGCUCAGCUGUGCCGCUGACCUGCCGUGUGGCCACUCACUCUCACUUUCUGGACCUCAGCCUCCCUAUCUGUAAAAUGAAAGACUUCUCGGCGGGGCACGGUGGCUCAUGCCUGUAAUCCCAGCACUUUGGGAGGCCAAGGCGGGCAGACCAUGAGGUCAGGAGUUUGAGACCAGUCGGGCCAACAUAGUGAAACCACGUCUCUACUAAAAAUACAAAAGAUUAGCUGGGUGUGGUGGUGUGCACCUGUAACCCCAGCUAGUCAGGAGGCUGAGGCAGGAGAAUUGCAUGAACCCGGGAGGUGGAGGUUGCAGUGAGCUGAGAUCACGCCAUUGCACUCCAGCCUGGGCAACAGUGCGAGAUUCCAUCUCAAAAAAAAAAAAAA
rnacentral:lncRNA from 10 species